rnacentral:rRNA from 1 species
GACGUAGGGGGCCAGCGUUGUUCGGAAUUACUGGGUGUAAAGGGUUCGUAGGCGGUGCGGCAAGUUGGGAGUGAAAUCUCUGGGCUUAACCCAGAGGCUGCUUCCAAAACUGCUGUGCUUGAGUGUGGGAGAGGCGCGUGGAAUUGCAGGUGUAGCGGUGAAAUGCGUAGAGAUGUGGAGGAACACCAGUGGCGAAGGCGACUCUUUGGCCUGUAACUGACGCUGAGGCGCGAAAGCGUGGGGAGCAAACAGG